GUUGAACGUUUCAUCAUAAAUGAAAAAUUUCAAACGGUAAUUCCAACAGUAUCAUCAUUUAUUUAAUUAAAUAUUAGAAGUAUAAAACAAUAAUAUAUAGGUAUUCUUAAGUGAACGAUCAGAUAAAAAUAUAGCAGCCAGUUGAAUUUUCAUCAUAAAUGAAAAAUUUCAAACGGUAAUUCCAACAGUAUCAUCAUUUAUUUAGUUUAAUAUUAGAAGUAUAAAACAAUAAUACAUAGAUAUUCUUAAAUGAACGAUCAGAUAAAAAUAUAGCAGCCAGUUGAAUGUUUCAUCACAAAUGAAAAAUUUCAAACGGUAAUUCCAACAGUAUCAUCAUUUAUUUAAUAAUAUUGAAUGUAAAAUAUACUUAUAUUUAAGUUUUCGUAAGUGAAGGGUACUGAGAAAACCAACCAAGCCAUUUUGUUUGAAUAGAUAUGGGUAUCAUACAAUUAUUUAUAUUGUAUAUUUAUGUGA